GGCUACGGCUCAACCGUAGUAAGCGCUUGAAACUGGGAGACUUGAGUGCAGGAGAGGAGAGUGGAAUUCCUAGGGUAGCGGUGAAAUGCGUAGAUAUUAGGAGGAACACCAGUUGCGAAGGCGGCUCGCUGGACUGUAACUGACGCUGAGGCACGAAAGCGUGGGGAGCAAACAGGAGUAGAUACCCUGGUAGUCCACGCUGUAAACGAUGAGUACUAGGUGUCGGGGGUUACCCCCCUCGGUGCCGCAGCUAAC
rnacentral:rRNA from 1 species